UUUAGUACUAUUGUCACUGUCUGUACCAAGAAAAGGAGCUGUUGAUUUUGCUUUUAAGUGCUUCUGAAUAGAAAAGGAUAUUUUUGUUUGGGAUCAAGUUUAAGGGAUCACUUGUCAAGAUGAACAAAAUCAUUUUUGGAGUUCUAGCGGUUGUAGGAUCUUUCAUGCUGGUGGAAUCCCUGACAUGCAACAAAUGCACUGUGGGCGUGCUAAGUCUUUGCCUGAACCCUAGUACUCUAACCUGCACAACAAACACAAGUGCCUGCUUCACAGGCAAAGCCACCUUUCCAUCCAUUAGUAAUUCCAUAGGCUUCAGCACCCAGGGCUGUCUGAAUAGCGAUUUGUGCAACAGCACCAACGCUACAAACAGCAUCCUUGGUGUCUCCUACACCAUUGUAACACAAUGCUGCUCCACAAACAACUGUAACCCAUCAUCAAUCAGUGGCGCUACCUCUGCUAAGCUCUCUGUCACCGCAGCCAUAGGUGCCGCACUUGUGGCCUCAGUAUGGGGCAGCAUGCUUUACUAGAACUAAAGGGCAUUGACUCCUACUUUGUUUUGAUAUAAUGCCAACUAUGGCUAAGGCUUUUAGUUAGGGCUAGGGUUUUUAGGGGUUUAUAAUAAUUUUUAGGGCUUUAAGGGCUUUAUUGUUUUAAUUUAACUUCUAUCACUGAUGUUUUUUAGCGUUUUAUUUUCAGGAAUUUUGUAUUGUGUAUUUUAUCUUGUGUUUUCUAUAUCUAACUUUGUGUUUAUUUGUACCUGAUACUGCACUUGAAAUAAAUAAACUUACUUACUUACUAUGGCUUUGUUUCAGAGCUAUGCAGUCUGGGUCAGAACCUAAUGAGGUAGUUAUUAAACAAGGAAUAUGACAUCUGUUAUUGACCAAUCGUGUGCUGUGGGUGUAAAACUGCAUUCAUAAUCCUUCUAUAUUUUUGUUUUCUAUUCCUUUUGUAAUCUAUAAUCAUGAGUGAUUAAAUUAUUAUUAUUAUUCAUAAAUAAUAAUAAACAAAUUAUUGAUCUAUUUCCUAUUUUUCUCAUUCCUGGGAUUCCAUACAAAUCAUUCUUAUGUUUGAAGAUUUUUUGAAGGGAAUAAACGAGACAUUCCAGAAGGUUAUUUUCAUUCACCUUAAGCAUGAUGAGAUUAAAGUGGAACAGACAUCAGAUUAACAUGUUGAAAUACAUCACAUGGAUGUGGUCAUUUUCAAGUUUUUACACUUUCAUAGAAUGUCUGGGAAUGACAUAGAGUAAGCUAGAGUAAGAAUUCGAUAUCAAUGUAGAUCGUAGAAAUGGAUGUGCGUCUAGAUGUGUAAUGUUCACUGUAAUGAAUAAAAACAAAUAAAAUCAUCUGAGUUACAGAAGGAA